rfam:Danaus plexippus plexippus isolate F-2 unplaced genomic scaffold DPSCF300219, whole genome shotgun sequence.
AUUGUAGUCGACAGUAUAUACAUUAAAAUUGGAACGGUACAGAGAAGAUUAUCACGUCCCUUGCGCAACCAUGUUUUCCGUAUUUUAAUAUAAUAUCGUUGAAUGU